GAGUUUUUCGGCAGCAAUAGCUGUCUUUCACAUGCGUUUCAAACCUCAUAUUCUUGGGUAGAUUGUGAAUUAAGACGAGAGAGUUUUUCGGCAGCAAUAGCCGUGUUUCACAUGCGUUUCAAACCUCAUAUUCUUGGGUUCUGACUCAAAUCGGGUAUACUUUCAUGUAUAUCAUAACAGAGGCUUCCUUCAACCAUGGGAUGAAUCUUGUGUCUGUGUCACUUAUCGGCAUAUUGUGGUUGGUAUAGCAAUGCUACCUCUUGCAUAUUUUAUGGAAAGGUAAAUCAACAUCGUGUUAUACUAGCCAUAAUAUGUCGAUAAGUGACAUGGAUGAAAAAUUCAUCCUGUGGUUGAAGGAAGUCUUUGUUAUGAUAUACAUGAAAAUAUACCCCAAUGUGAGUCAGAACCAUAAGAAUAUGAGGUUUGAAAUGCAAGUAAAAGAAGGCCAUGAAGAAGUUCUGCAGCAUUUCCCAGUCACAACGGCUUGAGGAUUCGAACCCAGCAUCUUCAGUCCAGGCUCUUCAGGAAGAAGUCGCAGUGUAGCUCGAAAAUACAGUUCAUUAGAGAUCCCUCUAAUUGUUUCCAUGAGAUCUACUGCGCAUUGGUUGCUCUGUUUGAUGUGUUCGAACAGAAAAUUCUUCAUGGUAUCAGAGCCAUCAUGGAAAAACUCAUCCCAAGCCUUUGUUAUGAUAUACAUGAAAAUGUUGACAUUCAGACUAGCCUUCGUCUUCCAGUUCUUCACAGGUUGCCUCUAGUUCCUUGCUUGCCAAUACUGAAGAUGCCAUUCAAGGUGCUGCUGGUGUUGGAUUUUUGGAUAACAGAUAGAUGAUAUCGCAUUUAUGCAACGAAGGCGUGCCCACGUUUUUUCUCUGUUUUUUAUGUUUAUUUGUAUAGUCAGCACUGAGGUUAUUUAUUCGCGAUGCUAUUAGGCCACAUAGGCUGCCUAAUUGGUUGCUGGUUAGUUAGGCAAUUUGGCGGUAGAACUGUAUAUUUAAACAGAUUUCUUCUUCUUCGUUUUGUACUGUAACAGAACAGAAACCAGAAAUGAAACUCAUGGCUCUGCUUGUGAAUUCA